GGCAUUUUGGCGGAGUGGUUAACGCGCUGGCCUGCUAUUGGCGUGCUGCAGACCUCAGAGCUUCAAACCUCUGAUUUCCCAAGGCAAAUCGAGCCCUUAGCUGUAUAGCCAGUUCCUUCGGGAGCGUGAGUUCGAAUCUCACAGAUGUCG
rnacentral:tRNA from 1 species